rnacentral:rRNA from 1 species
CCUACGGGAGGCAGCAGUGGGGAAUAUUGCGCAAUGGGGGAAACCCUGACGCAGCAACGCCGCGUGAAGGAAGAAGGCCUUCGGGUCGUAAACUUUUGUCUUUAGGGAAGAAUGAUGACGGUACCUAAGGAGGAAGCCACGGCUAACUACGUGCCAGCAGCCGCGGUAAUACGUAGGUGGCGAGCGUUGUCCGGAAUUACUGGGUGUAAAGGGUGCGUAGGCGGGUAUGCAAGUCAGAUGUGAAAUACCGGGGCUCAACCCCGGGAUUGCAUUUGAAACUGUCUUACUAGAGUGCAGGAGAGGAAAGCGGAAUUCCUAGUGUAGCGGUGAAAUGCGUAGAUAUUAGGAAGAACACCAGUUGCGAAGGCGGCUCUCUGGACUGUAACUGACGCUGAGGCACGAAAGCGUGGGGAGCGAACAGGAUUAGAUACCCGGGUAGUC